rnacentral:rRNA from 1 species
AGAUUGAACGCUGGCGGCAUGCUUUACACAUGCAAGUCGAGCGGCAGCGCGGGGCAACCCUGGCGGCGAGCGGCGAACGGGUGAGUAAUAGAUAGGAACGUGUCCGGGAGUGGGGGAUAACUAGCCGAAAGGUUAGCUAAUACCGCAUAUUCUCUUCGGAGGAAAGCGGGGGAUCGCAAGACCUCGCGCUCGCGGAGUGGCCUAUCGUCCGAUUAGCUAGUUGGUAGAGGUAAAGCUCACCAAGGCGACGAUCGGUAGCGUGGUCUGAGAGGAUGAUCAGCCACACUGGGACGUGAGACCACGGCCCAGACUCCGUACGGAGGCAGCAGUGGGAAUUUGGACAAGUGGGG